UACGUAGGGGGCAAGCGUUGUCCGGAAUCAUUGGGCGUAAAGAGCGUGUAGGCGGUCCGGUAAGUCGGCUGUGAAAGUCCAGGGCUCAACCCUGGGAUGCCGGUCGAUACUGCCGGACUAGAGUUCGGAAGAGGCGAGUGGAAUUCCCGGUGUAGCGGUGAAAUGCGCAGAUAUCGGGAGGAACACCGAUGGCGAAGGCGGCUCACUGGCCCGGUACUGACGCUGAGGUGCGAAAGCGUGGGGAGCAAACAGGG
rnacentral:rRNA from 1 species